rnacentral:rRNA from 1 species
UCAGGAUGAACGCUGGCGGCGUGCCUAACACAUGCAAGUCGACGAAGCACUCCGGUUGAGAUUCGUCAAGAACUGGAUUGACUAGUGGCGGACGGGUGAGUAAUGUAUGAGCAACCUGCCUUUCAGAGGGGGACAACAGUUGGAAACGACUGCUAAUACCGCAUAAUGUAUUUGGGUGGCACCACUUGGAUACCAAAGGAGCAAUCCGCUGAAAGAUGGGCUCAUAUCUGAUUAGUUAGUUGGUGAGGUAACGGCUCACCAAGACUGCGAUCAGUAGCCGGACUGAGAGGUUGAACGGCCACAUUGGGACUGAGAUACGGCCCAGACUCCUACGGGAGGCAGCAGGUGGGGAAUAUUGGGCAAUGGGCGAAAGCCUGACCCAGCAACGCCGCGUGAGUGAAGAAGGCCUUCGGGUUGUAAAGCUCUGUUAUAGGGGACGAAGGAAGUGACGGUACCCUAUAAGGAAGCCCCGGCUAACUACGUGCCAGCAGCAGC